rnacentral:rRNA from 1 species
AUGAGGGUGGCGGUGGUCGGCGGCGGGGUGAGUGGGCUGACGGCGGCGCACGAGCUGCUUGCCACGAGCCGAGGCGGCGUGCAUGUGACCCUGUACGAGCAGGAGGAGAGCCUGGGAGGGCAUGCCAGGGCGGUGGCCGUCGACGACGGCGCCGGUGGGUGCGUCAAGCUCGACCUCGGCUUCAUGGGCUUCAACCAGGCAACAUAUCCCCACAUGGUGGAAUGGUUAGAAGGCCUCGGGGUGGAGAUGGAGAGAUCAGACAUGUCUUUCUCUGUGAGUACACAACCGGACGGCAGCAACAGAGGAUGUGAGUGGGGCAAUGGCAACGGUAUCUCAAGCCUCUUGGCGCAAAAAGCCAAUAUAUUGAAAACAAGUUUUUGGCGCAUGCUCCGUGAGAUAUUCAAGUUCAAGAAUGAUGCUCUGGCGUACCUGGAGAACCAUGAACAUAACCCUGAUCUGGACUGUAAUGAGACAAUGGGGCAGUUCAUUCAGUCCCACGGAUAUUCCCUAUUAUUCCAGGAGGCUUAUCUUAUUCCUGUCUGUGCAGGCAUGUGGUCAUCUUCAUCACAAGGUGUUUUUAGCUUGUCCGCUUUCUUCGUGCUAUCAUUUUUUCGUAACCAUGACCUUCUUCAGCUGUUUUGUUACCCCCAAUUGCCCACUGUCAAGGCUCGUUUGCAGUCCUUUGUAGACAAGGUAAAAGGAGAAUUGGAGAGCAUGGGCUGUCGAAUAAAAACCAACUGUCGUGUCAAAUCUGUUUUAAGCCUUGAUGGAGCAGCUGGCUACAGAGUCUUGGAGAAUGAUGGUUCAGAGGAAACAUAUGACAGUGUCAUCCUUGGGGUACAUGCACCCAAUGCUCUCAAAGUAUUAGGAGCUGAAGCUACACAUCACGAACUGAGAAUUCUAGGUGCCUGUCAGUAUAUCCAAAGAGAUAUAUACCUCCACUGCGAUCAAAAUCUGAUGCCCCAAAAUUCGUCCACAUGGAGCGCCUGGAAUUUCCUGGGGACAACUAGCAGAGGUUUUUCUGUUACUUACUGGCUAAACCGUAUUCAGAAAAUUGAAUCUGCCAGCCCUUUCCUGGUGACAAUCAACCCCCCUUGUGUUCCGGAUCGUGUAGUGCUUAAAUGGUCUACAAGCCUUCCUGUUCCAUCUGUGGCUGCGGCGAAGGCUUAUCUCCAGCUUGAUCACAUCCAGGGAAAGAGAGGAAUAUGGUUCUGUGGGGCAUAUCAAGGUCAUGGUUUCCAUGAAGAUGGAUUGAAGGCUGGGAAAGCAGCAGCUCAAGGUUUGCUUGGAAAGAAAUGUCAGCUUCUGCAGAACCCAAAGCAGAUGAUUCCAUCAUGGACCGAGGCUGGGACGCGCCUUCUAGUUGCAAGAUUUUUCAACCAAUUCAUAUCCAUCGGUAACUUGAUAUUGGUCGAAGAAGGAGGUAGUGUGUUGAACUUUGGUAAAGCUUGCGACAAAUGCCGUAUAAAAUCUGUCAUGCGAGUUCAUGACCCCUUGUUCUAUUGGAAGGUUGCAACAGAAGGAAACCUUGGCUUGGCAGAAGCAUAUAUUAACGGAUGUUUCUCUUUUCUUGACAAGAGAGAAGGACUUCUGAAUCUUUUCCUGAUACUCAUUCUUAACAGAGAUGUGCGUAGGAGCUGCAGGAGCGCCAGAAAAGGCGGUCGGUGGACACCCUUGCAUGUAAUAGCACGGUUGGCACAUGCUAAAUACAUUUUGCGCGAAGUCUCGAGGAAGAACACUGUCACACAAACUCGUCGAAACAUCUCUCAGCACUAUGAUCUUAGUAACGAUUUUUUCUCGCUUUUUCUGGACAAAUCGAUGACUUACUCUUGUGCUGUUUUCAAGAUGGAGAAUGAAAGCUUAGAAGUAGCCCAGCAACGCAAGCUUAGCCUUCUAAUCGACAAGGCUAAAGUCAAGAGGGGGCAUCAUGUUCUUGAUAUCGGUAGCGGCUGGGGAAGUUUAGCAAUACAAGCGGUUAAGCAAACUGGCUGCAAAUACACUGGAGUCACUUUGUCGGCGGAGCAGCAUAAAUACGCAGAGAGAAAAGUCAGAGAAGCUGGCUUAGAGGACAACAUAAGUUUUAUGCUGUGCGACUACCGUCAAAUACCACCUUGCAAGUAUGAUGCAAUCAUAAGCUGCGGUAUGAUCGAACAUGUUGGCCAUGAAUACAUGGACGAAUUUUUUGCCUGCUGCGAGUCUUACUUGGCUGAAGAUGGCAUAUUGGUUCUCCAGUUCAUCUCAGCUCCAGACGAACGGUACGAGCAAUACAGAAGAAGGACAGACUUCAUAAAAGAAUACAUAUUUCCUGGCGGUUGCCUUCCUUCUUUGGGCCGUGUAGUGUCUGCCAUGACCACAUCAUCAAGGUUCUGCAUAGAGCAUGUGGAGAAUAUUGGGCCUCAUUACUACACAACUCUGAUGCACUGGAGGGACAACUUCAUGACCAACAAAGAUCAAGUUUUGGCCCUGGGCUUUGAUGAGAAGUUCAUGCGUAUAUGGGAGUUCUAUCUCAUAUACUCUGCGGCUGGUUUCAAGUCACGAGCAGUUGGAGAUUACCAGGUUGUUUUCUCUCGUCCAGGCAACCGUCGGCUAGCCCACCCUUGA